UUCAACCUGGUCUCAUGGGAAAUACGUACCUCUGCACACUUUUUUGCAGCGCCAAAAAUAUGUACCAAUAGGCACGUAUUGCUACAGUUUUGAAAAACAAACGUCCACUGGGGUCGCUAAAGAGAAGAACUCCAUGUGACAUUACAUUAGGAGUUGCAUUUCAUUACAUCGCGAGAUUUAACAACGCAUUGAUCAAGAUAAUUUAUGAAGAUCUUUAAACGAAGGAUUGGAAUAUCAGAUAGUUGACAUGUGUGUCACGUGACAAUCAUGACCCGUCGCCAUGGACACAAGGGGUCAGAUAAAAUAUUUGUAACUUGCGUGUGAAAGGUUUAUUUUAAAUAUAUAUAUAUAUUCUAAGUAAACAACAAAAUUGAAACUAUAAAUAAAUAUU